GGAUCCAGACUUUGAUCAUGGCUCAGGAUGAACGCUGACGGCGUGCCUAACACAUGCAAGUCGAACGGAGUUAUGAUGUGAGCGGGAAGUGCUUGCACUAAACAAUCUUUUCAUAACUUAGUGGCGGACGGGUGAGUAACACGUGGGUAACCUGCCCUGUACUGGGGGACAACAGUUGGAAACGACUGCUAAUACCGCAUAAGCGCACGGGAUCGCAUGAUCUAGUGUGAAAAACUCCGGUGGUACAGGAUGGACCCGCGUCUGAUUAGCUGGUUGGUGAGGUAACGGCCCACCAAGGCAACGAUCAGUAGCCGGCCUGAGAGGGUGAACGGCCACAUUGGGACUGAGACACGGCCCAAACUCCUACGGGAGGCAGCAGUGGGGAAUAUUGCACAAUGGGGGAAACCCUGAUGCAGCGACGCCGCGUGAGUGAAGAAGUAUUUCGGUAUGUAAAGCUCUAUCAGCAGGGAAGAAAAUGACGGUACCUGACUAAGAAGCCCCGGCUAACUACGUGCCAGCAGCCGCGGUAAUACGUAGGGGGCAAGCGUUAUCCGGAUUUACUGGGUGUAAAGGGAACGUAGACGGCAUGGCAAGUCUGAAGUGAAAUGCGGGGGCUCAACCCCUGAACUGCUUUGGAAACUGUCAGGCUGGAGUGCAGGAGAGGUAAGUGGAAUUCCUAGUGUAGCGGUGAAAUGCGUAGAUAUUAGGAGGAACACCAGUGGCGAAGGCGGCUUACUGGACUGUAACUGACGUUGAGGCUCGAAAGCGUGGGGAGCAAACAGGAUUAGAUACCCUGGUAGUCCACGCCGUAAACGAUGAUUACUAGGUGUUGGGGAUUUAUAAAUCCUCGGUGCCGUCGCAAACGCAAUAAGUAAUCCACCUGGGGAGUACGUUCGCAAGAAUGCAACUCAAAGGAAUUGACGG
rnacentral:rRNA from 1 species